CACAGGUUAAUCUAACAAAGAUUUUAGACUUCAAAUCUGACCAUGGGCAGGCGCCCACCUGUGG
rnacentral:tRNA from 1 species